rnacentral:rRNA from 1 species
GUAUUAAGCAUUCUGUGCCGCCGCUAACGCAUUAAGUAUCCCACCUGGGGAGUACGACCCGCAAGGUUGAAACUCAAAGGAAUUGACGGGGGCCCGCACAAGCAGUGGAGUAUGUGGUUUAAUUCGAAGCAACGCGAAGAACCUUACCAGGGCUUGACAUAUACCGGAAUAAUCAAGAGAUUGGUUAGACCUUCGGGACUGGUAUACAGGUGGUGCAUGGUUGUCGUCAGCUCGUGUCGUGAGAUGUUGGGUUAAGUCCCGCAACGAGCGCAACCCCUAUCGUUAGUUGCCAGCAUGUAAAGAUGGGAACUCUAGCGAGACUGCCGGUGAUAAAUCGGAGGAAGGUGGGGACGACGUCAAAUCAUCAUGCCCUUUAUGUCCUGGGCUACACACGUACUACAAUGGUCGUUACAGAGGGAAGCAAUAUAGUGAUAUGGAGCAAAACCCAAAAAGCGACCUCAGUUCGGAUUGAAGGCUGAAAUUCGCCUUCAUGAAGCCGGAAUUGCUAGUAAUGGCAGGUCAGCAUACUGCCGUGAAUACGUUCCCGGGCCUUGUACACACCGCCCGUCACACCAUGAGAGUUGGAAAUACCCGAAGCCUGUGAGCUAACAAAUGAGGCAGCAGUCGAAGGUAGAGUCAAUGAUUGGGGUGAAGUCGUAACAAGGUA